CCUUUUGUAGNCCUUUCAGGUNUAUGUUGNUUCAUUUAUACCCCAAUGUAUGUUAAUAGAAUGUUGUGCCUAUAUUAUAAUAUAUACAACUUUCAGCAACGGAUCUCUUGGCUCUCGCAUCGAUGAAGAACGCAGCGAAAUGCGAUAAGUAAUGUGAAUUGCAGAAUUCAGUGAAUCAUNGAAUUUUUGAACGCNCCUUGCGCUCCUUGGUAUUCCGAGGAGCAUGCCUGUUUGAGUGUCAUUAAUAUAUAUCAAACCAACCUUCUNUUGUUGAUUGGUUUGGAUGUGGGGGUUUCUUUUUUGCUGGCCUGUUCAGCUCCCCUGAAAUGCNUUAGCAGAACAAAAAAAACCCUGGUUCAUUGGUGUGAUAACUAUCUACGCUAUUGAANGUGAGGGGGAAAAGUUCAGCUUUCCAACCGUCCUUUGGACAAUUCAUCAUUAAUGUGACCUCAAAUCAGGUAGGACUACCCGCUGAACUUAAGCAUAUCAAUAAGCGGAGGAAAAGAAACUAACAAGGAUUCCCCUAGUAACUGCGAGUGAAGCGGGAAAAGCUCAAAUUUAAAAUCUGGCGGCCUUUU
rnacentral:rRNA from 1 species